GAUGAACGCUGGCGGCGUGCCUAAUACAUGCAAGUCGAGCGAACGGACGAGAAGCUUGCUUCUCUGAUGUUAGCGGCGGACGGGUGAGUAACACGUGGAUAACCUACCUAUAAGACUGGGAUAACUUCGGGAAACCGGAGCUAAUACCGGAUAAUAUUUUGAACCGCAUGGUUCAAAAGUGAAAGACGGUCUUGCUGUCACUUAUAGAUGGAUCCGCGCUGCAUUAGCUAGUUGGUAAGGUAACGGCUUACCAAGGCAACGAUGCAUAGCCGACCUGAGAGGGUGAUCGGCCACACUGGAACGGGGACACGGUCCAGACUCCUACGGGAGGCAGCAGUAGGGAAUCUUCCGCAAUGGGCGAAAGCCUGACGGAGCAACGCCGCGUGAGUGAUGAAGGUCUUCGGAUCGUAAAACUCUGUUAUUAGGGAAGAACAUAUGUGUAAGUAACUGUGCACAUCUUGACGGUACCUAAUCAGAAAGCCACGGCUAACUACGUG
rnacentral:rRNA from 1 species